UAAUAAUAAUAAUAAUAAUAAUGGAACAUUUCCAAAAUUGCUAGAGAUUUCUCUUCAACUUUUAACUUGAAGAAGCCGAUUCCUUCAUGAUUAACCACCAAUUAAAUACUGCGAUUCUCUCUUGCCCUUCACAAUUUCCUUUGCACAACCUUCCUGUUUGUUUUGUUUCUUCACAACAAGAAUGAGAAAAACCAGGCAACAACAAAUUGAAACUUGAUGUCUUUGUUUUAGCAAUUACAGCAGUCCCAUUCUGAUUAAAAUUAACUAUAAAUAAAAAAAUGAUAGAAAUUAAAUCAUAUAUGUCAUGA
rnacentral:misc_RNA from 1 species